rnacentral:lncRNA from 1 species
GAAAUAACAAUUUCCAUACUUGAUAUAUACAUCAAUAAAGCUUUGGCCCAAAUGGCACAGAAGACAUACAACUACGGAUUAACAUUUUGGUAGAUUUCAGGCUUAUAGCCCUGUCUAACCUUCUGCUAAUACCAUAGAAUAGAAAUCAUUCUCUUACGGAGACAUGUUCUACAUGGCCAGAUGCUACAUACCAGUACCAACAUGAAUCUAAGUCCUUUUAUUGAUCACAUGGUCAAAGGUAUUUCUUUGCUAUUAAAAAUAGCGAUUAAAAAUAACCCGGGAAAAUAACCCAUAAUAAUAACACUGAAAAGCACGUAGCACAUAUAACACAUAACAUACAAUUGUUCCUAUAUAUUAAACUCACCGUGAAAUAACCGGGGGCUAAAAUAUUAAUUUGGUCAGCACUUCGGCUAUAAAUAUAACUUUCUUCUUUGAAAAUCGGGAGUUUUCUUGAUAACCGGGCUCUGCGAUGGUAAAGCUUCAAAACCGAUAAGAUAAAUUUUUCAGGCUUCUUGGGCACUUCGGGGCGUGUUUCGGCCUUUGGAAUUAGUAUCGGGAUUUUGGGGAAGUCAGAAGGGUGAAAAAUGCCAAAUUUCAAACAUCUAACCGGGAGGUCUCGCACCCCUUAUAUAGGUACGAGCCUCAGAUCCGAAGCGAGGGGGUGAGGGCAGGUGGCUGCGAGGCUCGGACCAAGUGGCAGUAGGGCGAGGCUCAGACCGACAGGUGCUCGCUUCGCAUUGGUCGAAUGAAGCGGCUUCUGGCUUCGGAUCGGGUCGACUGCCUCAGUCGAAUGAGGAGUCUACACGUGGGUCGGGCACGAGGGCGCAUGCGAGAUCACGUGAUUUCAGACAGAUGUCAGCUCCUAAGUGGACCGAGCUUCGUCUCUGGGGAAAGAGGUGAUGAAUUCGGACCAAUCAGUGUGUGCCAGGCAAGGCUGAAGUCCAAUCAGAAGAAGCCACGUGGAUCGAACACUAUUCAUGCGAAAAUUAUCGAAAAAUGUGCCCAAUCUUGUAAAAUCCAUAACUUUCUCAUACGGACUUCGUAUUUGACGUUCUUUAUAUGCACGCGUAGGUAAAAUUAUGCUCUACAACUUUUUUUUAGACUUCAUCGGCUAAUUUUGAAUUUAUUUUUAAUAUUAUUAUUUUCAACAGACCGGGACAGGAAAAUCCGUUAAAAAUUCAUAACUUCUUCAGCCGACAUCCAUUUUCGUCAGACUUUUUACCGUUGUACUACUAAUGACGAGACCUUCAAUUCUCGUUUAGGUUGUGUCGGCUAAAAAUCACUCGAUCUAAAAUUCGAGUUUUUAGUUGUCUAUUACUAAGCUGAAACUUAGAAAAAUCAUAACUUCCUCAUACGAAGUAAGAUUUUGGCAUUCUUUUUUUAUCAAACUUCUCGGUUUAAAAAAUACUAAGAAUUUCAUUUACAUUACUAAGGCUAAAAAGUAGUUUAUCAAAAACUCACUUUUCACGUCAUUCGGCGCUGUGCCGGUUUUGUCGCAGAUCUUCGAUUGGUCAUAACUUCUUCGUUAUAACUCGGAUUUUGAUGAGGUUUUCGCCUAAAUGUUUCUAACGAAACUAUCUACAACUUUCAAUAAAAAAAAUUUACUUAUUCAAAAUUUUAUAUUUUCGUUAAAUUUCACUAUUUUACAUUUGAUUGGAAUCUCAUAAGACUUUGAAUACUUUAUGAAUGAUUCUAAGCAUAGUUUUACUUCAAUUCUAGUAAAAACUAUAUGUUAGAACUCAACAUUCAAAUUCACAUAAUAUUUGAUAAUAUUAUUUACUUAAAACACGAUUUCAAAACAUAUAUGUUACAAAUACCUCCUCUUUUUGAGGAUUUCGUCCCCGAAAUUAAAUCGAUUAAAAUAAAUGGGUAUAUUUAGCUCUUAUCUCAUUCUUAUUUUCCCAAGUAUAAUUUGGGCCUCGAUGGUGUUUCCAAUUUACAAGCACCAACUCUACUUCUUUAUUACAUAGAUUAGUUAUUCUUUCAUUCACGAUCUCUUCCGGCUCUUCUACAUAUCUUAACUUAUUAUCCAAAUUCACCUCGGAUAAUGGAACUGUCUUAUCAUUGAUGCUCAAGCAUUUGCGCGGAUAGCUCACAUGAAACACAUCAUGAAUACUUGCCAAAUCUUCUGGCAAUUCCAAGCGGUAUGCUUGUUUAUUAACUCUAUGGAUGAUUUUGAAAGGACCAACAAAUCUAGAGCUUAGUUUUCCUUUCUUCCCAAAUCGCAUAAUGCCUUUCCACGGGGAUACUUUUAGCAUUGUGAAAUCACCCACCUGGAAUUUUAUGGGUCAUCUCCUCUUUUCUGUAUAGGACUUCUGUCGAUCCUAGGACGCUUUCAUUCUUUCUCGUACAAUUUAAAUCUUGUUGGUGGUGUCUUGAAUCAUUUCAGGGCCUCCAAGGAUCUUCUGUCCUAUGUCUCGCCAACAUAAUGGAGUACGAAACUUGCGACCAUAUAAUGCCUCAUAUGGUGGCAUUUUGAUUGAACCAUGGUAACUGUUAUUAUACAAGAAUUCGACAAGAGGUAAGUAUUUAUCCCAGUUACCACCGAACUCCACCACACAUGCACGAAGCAUAUCUUCAACUGUUUUGAUUGUUCUCUCCGUUUGACCAUCUGUUUGUGGAUGAUAAGCUGUGCUAAGAGCAACUCGAGAUCCCAAUUCACGUUGCAUACUCGCCCAAAAGUGAGAAGUGAAGCGAGUAUCACGAUCGGAAAUGAUCUUUAGUGGCACACCGUGUCUUGCAACAAUUUCAUCCAAGUAUACUUGUGCGUAUUUCUCCAUUGGAGACAUUUCACGCAUGGCAAGAAAAUGAGCGCUUUUAGUCAGGCAUUCGACGAUUACCCAAAUGCUAUCAUGCUGUGUAGCAGUCUUUGGAUAAUUUUGUAAUGAAAUCCAUGGACAGUUCUUCCCAUUUCCAUACAGGAACACUAAGACUUUCUGGGGUUCCAUAAGGCUUUUGGUGCUCUACUUUGACUUGUAAGCAUACUAAGCAUUCUUAUACAUAUCUUCCAAUGUCUCUCUUUAAUCCAGGCCACCAAUAAUCAGCUCUUACAUCAUAAUACAUUUUACUUGUACCGGGAUGUAUUGACAGUUUAGAUUUAUUGGUUUCAUCAAAAAUCUUGUGUCUUAAUCCACCAAUCUUGGAAUCCACAGUCGAUUCUUGAAUACUUUUAAUCCUCGCGGAUCAUCAAGUAAAGCAUCAUUAUAAUGAAUCAUCCCUUCUUUCUUCACAUUUUCUGGCUUUAGGGCCUCUUCUUUCCAUUUCUCUAAUUCAUCUAAAAUAGUGAAUUUUACUGUAGUAGGAGUAAUAGCAUAACACAUACCAUUGCGAUAAACCUUUCUGCUAAGUGCAUCGGCAACUACGUUGGCUUUUCUAGGAUGAUAUAGGAUUUCACAAUCAUAAUCUUCGAUUAGCUCCAUGGCCCGUUGUUGUCUCAUAUUCAAAUUUUUCUGACUGAAUAUGUACUUGAGCCUUUUGUAGUCGGUAAAUAACUGCCAUUUUGUACCAAAAAGAUAAUGCCUCCAAAGUUUUAGGGCAAAUACCACUGCAGCGAGUUCGAGAUCAUGAGUGGGAUAAUUCUUUUUAUAAUCUUUCUGUUGUCUUGAGGCAUAGGCAAUCACUUUGCCACGUUGCAUCAACACACAACUGUGUCCCAAUCUUGUAGCAUCGCUAUAUACGGGGAAAUCAUCAUCACCUUCUGGGAGUGAUAAGAUUGGAGCAUGAGUCAAAAGAUCUUUUAGAGUUGAGAAAGCUUUUUCUUGGGCUUCAUCCCAUUCGAACUUCACUUCCUUCCGUGUAAGACUCGUGAGAGGUACGGCUAUAAAACAAAAGUCUUUAAUGAAUCUCCGGUAAUAUCCCAUGAGACCCAAGAAACUACGAAUUUCGGAAGCAUUAUGGGGCACUUCCCAAUUUUGAAUGGCUUCGAUUUUGAUAGGAUCUACGGAUACACCAUCACUAGAAAUAAUGUGGCCGAGAAAUUGAACUUGGCAAAGCCAAAAUUCACAUUUUGAGAAUUUCGUAUAUAGUUUCUCCUUUCGAAGAAGUUCUAAUACCGCACGAAUAUGAAUGACAUGAUCAGCUUCAGACUUGGAAUAGGUUAGAAUAUCUUCAAUGAAUACGAUGACGGAUUAUCGAGCAUUGGGCGGCAUACCCAAUUCAUCAUAUCCAUGAAUACAGCAGGAGCAUUUGUUAAACCAAAUGGCAUAACAAGGAAUUCAUAAUGCCCAUAUCGAGUACGAAAAGCAGUCUUCGGUACAUCCUGCUCGUGAACUUUCAACUGAUGAUAGCCAGAUCUUAGAUCAAUCUUUGAGAAAUAGCUAACACCCUGAAGUUGAACGAACAAAUCGUCGAUGCGAGGUAGUGGGUACUUGUUCUUGAUAGUCACAUUAUUCAGCUUACUAUAAUCACUGAACAUCCACAUCGAUCCAUCUUUACAAACAGUACCCGAGCGCCCCAGGGAGAGGUACUCGGUCGAAUGAAACCCUUGUCAAGUAGUUCCUGUAGUUGGAUCAUCUUUUCUUUCAUCUCAGCUUGCGCAAGACGAUAAGGAGUCUUUGCAAUCGGAGCAGCACCAGGCACAAGGUCAAUUCGGGAUUCUACUUGCCUAUCCGGAGGAAGGCCAUGCAUGUCAUUGGGAAAAACAUUAGGAUAUUCGUUAACAACGGGAACAUCAUUUAUAGUUUUCUUCUCCUCUUUUGAGACAUCAAUUGUGUAGGCCAGAUAGGUAGAACACCCUUUCAAUAUGAAUUUACGAGUUUUAAGGAAAGAGAUUAUUUUUAAGAUUCUUUGUUUACCGUAGACAUAGACAGGAUUCUCCCUUUCAAUAGGAAUGUGUACUAUCUUUUCAUAGCACAAGAGUUCCGCGUGGUUCUUUGAUAACCAAUCCAUACCGAGAAUAAUAUCAAAGUUGGGCAAGGAGAUAGGGAUCAGAUUAGCAGGAAAAUUAUAGCCUUCAAUUUCUAUAACACAAUCCUUAUAGACUUUAUCAUCAAGUAAUGAUAUACUUCCUGUAGUAUCUACGUGAAAUGGUUGUGCGAGUACAAAGCAAGCAAUUUGAAAGGAAUGCACACAUUUAUAAGACAUAAAAGAAUUUGUGGCACCAGAAUCAAAUAAGAUGUGAUCAGUUCUAGAGGUUACAAGAAAUGUACCCGUCACAACAUUCGGGUCCUCGCGUGCCUCCUCUGAGGUAAUCUAGAAUGCACGACCCUUAGCUUUUGGCACCUCCUCCUUUUUAGUUGGAGUACCCUUUGGUUGUUGAACAGGGACUUGGCUUCUCGCCGGUUCUUGAAUAGAAGUUUGACUUCCCAUCAUCUGACUAGUAAGAGUAGGGCAAAAACGCUUCUUGUGGCCAGUAAUACCACAUGCAUAGCAAGUAACAUCCUUUCUUGGGUAAUCUGGCUUUAUAUGACCAUUUUCUCCACAUCCAUAACAGACAAUGGUUUCAUUGUCUAUUUUGCAUUAGCCCGGAUGAUUCCUUCCACAAACACGACAUGAAGGCGAUUGAAUAGAAAUAGAUUGUGAUCUACCACGUCCACGAGAGACAUUUUUCGUUUGAACUUGAUUACCAGGUUCAGUCCGAACGGAUUGAGCUGGUAGAAAAGAAGGAACAGGAAUAGUUCUUUCAGUAUGUGGAUGCUUUAGAGCAGUAAAAGUGGUACCACGUAUUUCUAAGUCAUGCUUGCGUCUUCGAGCAUACUCAACGGCUUUAUCGAAUGAUAGAACUUCUCGAUUGGCAACGAAAUCAUGGAUUACGUGUCGUAGUCCCUCCAUGAAUAACUGAGUUUUCUCGUCUUCAGUUGGAAUAUACUUUGUAGCAAACCUUGCUCUUUGAUUAAACUGAGUUUCAUACUUAUUCAUAGUCAUUCCUCCUUGUUUAAGCUUGAGGAAUUCCUUCUCCAAUCUCCUCCUCAUGUCUAGAGGAAAAUACUUCUCUAGAAAACGAGUUUUAAACAUUUCCGAGGCUAAACUCUCCUGGUCAAACCCGUUUAGAGCUUCAUAUGUUGCUUCCCACCAGACCAAGGCUUCUCCGAUGAGCAUUGCGGAAGCAUAAUUAGCCUUGUCUUCAUUAUCCACAUGAGAAAUAUAAAACACUUUCUCUGUGUUUUCGAUCCAUGUAAGAACAAUAAUGGGAUUAAGAACACCGGAAAACUCUGUAGCACCACUACUCUUGAAAUCUUUGAACGAUAGACGUUUCACCUCUCCUUUUGAAGAUUCUCUAGUGGCUUUCUCUUUUCCCCUAUCACCAUUCUUUUUGUGUUCUUCGAGAGUCUGUCGAAUAACACCGGUAAGUUUACCCAAGAGUCGCUCCUCACGAGGAGAUACUGGAGUAUUCACUUCCUCGGGUUGAGGACCUCCACCAACCUCAGGGAUAUGGCUACUAACCUGUUCAGCCAUUCCUCUGCAAUAUGGAGUAACAUUGUAUUUUAAAACAUUAGGGUUUAUUAUUACCUAAUACUUUUACUUAAAUAUUUCCUAUGGUUUGUAUCCAUAUACUUACAAUGAAUCCGUUGAUAUAUUGAACUUCGAAUAGUUUAAGUCUAAAUACCAAUCCGUGGAAUUUAGUUCACUCAAACUACUGCUCUGAUACCAUGAUUGAAAGACCCUCACUUUCGUAUUUAUGAAAGACCCAAACUUCCAUACUUGACAAUAUAGUUACUCCAAAACAUGCUACUUGCAUAUUCAUAAAAACAAUAUUUUACAUUGAUAAAGAGGUUACAAACUACUGGAUACAAACCGACUAUUUUAAAGUGUUAUAUAUUACAUAACUUCCCAGGAUUCUAUAGUUUUAUACAUAUGGGAGUGCAAAAUACAAUAGUUUCAAACUAUUCAUAAGCUUCUAUCGAUACAAUAGUUUCAAACUAUUCAAAAAUCUUCUACCAGUAUAUAACUAUACUGGAUGCUUAUCUCCUGCAAUUUGUUAAACAUUGAGAGGGUAAGCGGUGACGCUUAGUGAGUUCAAUAAUAGAUACAAUAUAACGUUAUGCCAUAUAUAUACUUUAAUAUGGCAGAAGCAAAGAGGAACAAGGAACAACAAGGGCAUAUGUGAAUCAUGUGACAAACAUUCCAUAUCAAUCAUUGAUUUGAUUUAAAGAUAUACAAUCAAUGAGACAUAACAAUUUCCAUGCUUGAUAUACAUCAAUAAAGCUUUGGCCCAAACGGCACAGAAGAUAUACAACUUCGGAUUAACAUUUCGGUAGAUUUCAGGCUUAUAGCCCUGUCUAACCUUCUGCCACUACCAUAGAAUAGAAUUCAUUCUCUUACGGAGACAUGUUCCACAUGGCCAGAGGCUACAUACCAGUACCAACGUGAAUCUANAUCUAACAUUCUGCCAAUACCGUAGAAUAUAAAUCAUUCUCUUACAGAGACAUGUUGUAACAGCCCAAAAUCUCAAGUAUUGCUAAGUUGCAUUUUGGGGGUGUUUUAAAGGGGAGACUCGGCGAGUUGGAGCCAGACUCGCCGAGUAGGGUCUCAGACUUGGUCGCGGGUUCGCGACUGGACUCGACGAGUCCAGAUAUAGACUCGGCGAGUCGACGCUGUUCAGCGGAAACCCUAACCGUUCAGUAUUGGGUCGUAUAUAAGGGUUAUUAUGCCGUCAUUUCACGACGUUUGAUCGAUUGGGAAGAACCCUAGGCGACUGUGGCGGCUAGAGCAAGCUUGAAGGCCAUUGGUGACCUUGAAGGAAUUGUUGUGCAAGGAGGAGAGGGGUUUUAGCUAAAGGAACUGCAGGGAGUUCGAGUUCUGAAGUUUGGGGACAUGGAAGGUACAUCAUUCAGGUAAUAAUUCGGAUUACAUUCUCCUGUGAUUGAUGUGUAUAUAGAUUUAGGGUUUAUGGAACCCAUUUGGAGUCUAGAUGGAUUGUUGUGUUGUUAUUCAACGUUUAUAACCUUGUAUUAGGACCCUUAGAGGUCCAGAAGGUCCCAUGUUUGUAUAUUCGAGAAUAUAUGUAUCUCAGGAAGCAGUUCGAUCGACUGCAUGGCGUGGACUCGCCGAGUCGGAUGAUCAGACUCGGCGAGUAGCUUGAAGAUUCACUGGGACUCGCCGAGUUUGUUCUUCAGGCUCGGCGAGUAGAGUCGGGGUGGCCCCGCGAUUCUUCCACGAGGACCUCGUCGAGUCAAGAGGGAUACUCGACGAGUAGAAAGGGAUCAUGCAGGAAUUGGUGAGGACGACUAGACUCGCCGAGUCGCCAGGGUACUCGCCGAGUCCAGUCGAGAUGGCCGUUGACCAGAGUUGACCUGUGUGUAACGUUUUAGGGUCAGUUAACGUGGAAGAUAGAAGUAUUAAAAAGAGAUAUAUGAUGAGACAGGGAGCUUGUAGCUCGGAGGAUCAAGUGCAAGAGAUUUCAGGAGUUGCUAUCUUCCAGUGUCCGCGAGGUGAGUCUUCUCACUAUACUGUACCCGGAAGGGUUUGACUGUGUGACCGGAAGGUCGGAUAUGAUAUGUGAUAUGUAUGCUAUAUGUGGUAAGUUAUUUGUUAUAUGUGCUAUGUAUGUUAUGGGCCGGAAGGCGAUUAUAUUAUGGGCCGGAAGGCAAUAUGUUAUGGGCCGGAAGGCGAUAUGAUGUGUGAUGGACCGGAAGGUCGGCGUGGGUAAGGCCGGAAGGUUUACCCAGCAGGGACGGAAGUCCCCUGAGACACAUGGACCGGAAGGUCGGGCCUGGAAAGGCGUAUGUGCGUAAGUUGUAUAUUGGGGAACUCACUAAGCAUCGUGCUUACAGUAUUUAUGUUAUGUUGUUUCAGGUUCUUUCAGUAACGCGGAAUGGCAUCGGCUCGAUUGUACACACCGAGGAAAGAGUUGUAUUUUGGAGGAUCCUGGUUGUCUAUUCAAAUGAAAAUGGAACUAUGUUUUGUAAUUCGAAUAUGAAUAAGAUUUUAAACAAGUGUUUUAAUAUUAAAUUGAUUAUUUAAAUGAAAAAUUUUGCUUUGAAAAUCACGGUGUUACAAUUGGUAUCAGAGCCUUGGUUUGAGGGAUUCGGACGCGCCUACGGGUGAGUCUGGACUCAAACUGAGGAAUUAAGAAAAGGUUUUCAAAUAAAUAGUUUUCUAAAAGUGAAUAAGAGUUCAAAGAGAAAGCAAGAAAGAGCAGUGUGUACAAUCAGCCAGAGCCAAACGGUGAUUUCCCAAAAUACCCUUACUUUUGUAUUAUGAAAUAUCUAUUAUGCACUUUAUGAGACAUUAUUGCAUGCUAGAGACAGGCUAGGUAUUUCACAUCUUAGGACUAGAGUGGCCUGAUUUGUGAUGCCUUAGUCUAGGGUUUGCUGUUAUAUGUGCGUUAUGCUUUUGUGUGUAUGUGAUGAGUGAGAGUAUCUAGUUAGAACGCACAAGGGGUAAAGCUACGGGGUACAGAGGUACUUCCGAGGAUGAGCCGAGAAGGUGGAGCUACCACAGAUGGGGAGUCCUAUGUAUGCUUCAAUGCUCGAAUGCUGCUUGCUUUGUGCUUUGUGGAGUUAUCGAUGAUGGGAGUCAGCUACUAAGUGAGUAUGACGAUACUCAGGAGGUAGAGGGCUGGCAUCAUUAGGAACUCUUCAGCAGCUGAUAGCAAAGAAGUGGGAGGACAGCGGAAGGGACUAGGGAGUAAACCUAGCCAGAUGAGUGCGCUGGUAGAGUAGAGGAUUUCGCUGGAAAGCGAGCACGCGCGAUGAGAUGGGUGAAAGAGCAGGUUUAUCAGCUACUUAGGAACUCUGGGAUGGUCCGUGUGGAAAGUAUGGGUAGAUGUGGCAGGUAGUAUGGGCCCGUACUACUGAAAGCAGAGGACCCAUACUUGAUACAGGGGGCAUUCUGAAGGUCCUAAGGAACAGAUUGAGGGGUGAUGUUAUGGUUCGGAUACCAUACAUCGGAGCGGAUACAGAGUGAUGUUAUGGUCCGGGCACCAUACAUCGGAACAGAUUGAGAUAGAUGUUGUGGUCCGAGUGCUAUACAUUGGAGCAGAUUGAGGAGUGGUGCUAUGGUUCAGGUACCAUACACCGAAGCAUGUUGAGGAGGGAUGUCAUGGGAUGAGUACCAUGGUUCGUAGUGGAUGAUGCUUGUGGCUAUCUUGUUAUCCGGUUAUCGAUCGGACGAGCACGAGCGAGCGGGAUGCGAGGAUUCGCGAGAUCCUGCGUGAUGAGGUUGCUGCAUUGUUGCGGGCUGAGUCGCCAGAAUUGUUUGGGUCGAUCAGGACCACUAUGAUUGAAGUAGUUUGAUGAGCGAUAUGCGGCUUUCGCAGAGACGGCUGCCGCGGCGGUUACAGCGGCUGUAGCAACGGCAAAGAAAGGGGCUAGUCGGGGUUUUCAGUAUCGGGACUUCUAUUAUGCGAAGCCUCCCACAUUCGAUGGAGUUCAGGACUCGAUUGUUGCUAUGAGAUGGUUAUCAGACAUGGAGGGGUGUUUCUCCACGAGUUUAUGCCCUGCUGAUCAGAGGGUGGGGUGUGCUCUGAACCUGUUGAGGCUCGGGGCGAAGGAUUGGUGGAGAUUGACCACGAGGUCAUUUUCCGAUGCGCAGAGGGCUGCGGUUUCAUGGGAUCAAUUCAGAGGGAUGUUCAGUACUCGCUAUGUUCCGCGGGAUGAAAAGGAGAAAUUGGCUCGGAAGUUCCUUAAGCUGAAGCAGGAUUUGGAGUCGGUGACUGAGAGCACCGGGAUGUUUAUUGAGAGGGCGAUGUUUUGCCCUGAGUUCGCUUCGGAGCAGGCUCAGAUGUCCCGAUAUCCGAGUAUGCUCAAGGGGGGGUAUCAGACAGUUCGUGUCUGCGCAGAGGCGCGAGACCGUGUUGGUAUCGCAGGAGGCCGCCAUGUGGCGUGAGUUAGAGGUUGAGUUGCAGUUGCGUGAGAUGAGGCAGGCCCCGAUGCAGUCGCAGUCGGCGCCGAAACGGUCCAUGACCGUAGACGUUAGAAUGGGGGAUCGGAGCGGUCACACUUGUGGGAAGUGUGAGAGAGAUGGCACCGGAGCUUGUUGGCCCAGUGGUGCAUGCCGCAAGUGCGGAAAGGAGGGGCAUGGUGCACGGGAUUGUCGGCAGUCAGUGCCAAUUCGGGAUUUCAGGAUUUGUUAUCAGUGUCGGCAGGUUGGACAUUUGAGGGUCAACCGUCCACAGUUUCCUGCAGGACCGGUGCAGGCUCUAGCAUCGGCCACCUUGAGGAGUUCAGGAGGAGGACAGGAUGGAGCAGAGCCCAAGGGCUCAGGGUCGUGCUUAUCGGCUUGCGGCAGAGGGAGACGGAGCAGUGCCGGAGGCAGCUGCGGGUAUGAUGCUCUCUUGAUGUCUUGAGUAGCUUGCGUUGAUUGUGGCGUAUUGUUUGUGCUGGUGUCUGGUGUGGAUUUCGAUGCGGUAUUCGUUGUUUCGCGGGUUUGGCAUGGUUAUGGAUUGGUGCUUCAGGUUUUCGCUUGGCAUUCGUUGUUCCCUGAUGGUUUAGUAUGAUUAUAGUUUGGUGUUUUGGUACCGGUAGCCUUGUGCGGUUUUCGAUGCGAUAUUCAACCUUUGGCAGGUUGUGGGUUUGGUUAUGGGUUAUUGCUUGGGAAUUCCGUUGGUCAUCGUUCGUGAGGGUUGAUAGUGGAGAUGCGGCACUGGGUUGAAUGACGGGUAGCAUCUGCAGUUGUGGAGUGGAUAAUUGAAAGAUCGGAUUCUUUUGAGCGGAUUGAUCAGGGAGGAGAUGUGUUUUGCUGAGGGUUGCUUACGCUUGUGGGAAGCAGUCAGUGGGUAAAUGUUCUCUUUGUGCAGGAUGGUUCUGAAAGGUCGUUAAUGACGAUCGGUGGCAGUUAGUCAGUGCUUUAGUGGGGGAGAAUUGUAAAAUUCUCCGGGAGAUCGAUGAGUAUGUAAGGGUGCUUAGCUGUUGGGAUUCAGCAGUGUUUGUCAGCGCAAAGUAUAGGCCGACGAGAGCGAGUGUUGGGUAUGCGGGGCGAGAUACAGACCUAGGGCAUUUGAUUGUGGAGGCCUGAGAGGAGGUCGGGAUCAAGCUUGAGUAAGUAAUCGGAAUUUUGCGAUCAGAGUAUUGGUACGUUUGAGGUACGUGAUGGGUUGUACUGCAUUAAUCCCACGGGAUUAUGUUGUGCAUGUUUCUAGAGCUGGAACCGGAAGGUUCCCAGAGUUAGAACCUGAGGGUUCGCAGAGUUUGGGUGUACGGACCCACAGAGAUAUAGCCUCGAGUGGCUAGUAUGUGUUAUGAGAGUCGGUCCAGUCAUACUGGAGACUCUGUUGGUAUUGCUGGAUUAGUUUGAGAUUUGCGGAUCGCGUAUGUUGCAGUGUGAUUGCAUUGGAAGGUCUGGCCCCGGGUUAUUGAUCUUGUUUAGCGGAGGCAGUGAUUUUGAUGAGUGGAGAGAGUGCAUGGGAUUGAGAGCCCCUGCAAUGAGAACCAGAGUAUGUGAAUAGCAGUUACGCAAAAAGGGUGGUGUCGCUUGGGGCGAGCACCGUGGCACCGGUUGGAGUGGCAUUAUGUUCAAGAGAGUUCCGUGGAAAAGGAAAAGAGGAGGGUAUGUAACUCCGAAGGGGGUGCAAGUUCACGAAAGUGAAAGCUGCAGAGCAGAGUUAUGGUUAGAGUAUUUCGAGUAUGGUUUUGAGCAUCGUGUUCGCGGCAGUGGAGUAGGAACCCAUCCGGUUGGGAUGUCUGUUGAGGCUCAGAAGGGAUGCAUGGAGAGAGAAAAUUUUAAAUUCUCAGUGUGAAUCUGAUCAGAGUGUAGGGUGGAUGUAGUGGUUCAUCUUGGGAGAUGUUCGAGGAUAUCAUCAGUGUAUCGGGUCUUUCCACCUGCGGGUGUUGGGACUAGUUCAGUAUGUGUAUGUGAUGGCAAGAGGGAACUUGUGAGAGUUGAUCUGAGAGGGAGAACGGAUCUCUCAGUCGGUCCGGAAUGGGCAAAGUGGGCUUUGGAUCGGGGAUCCGGUGGUUCAGGGUUUCCUAACCCUUAUGGGUUGAGUGAUCGUUGAGAUUUGGAGCAGAGUGCAUCUUGGGUAAUUUCCGAUUACAGAGAGUGAUGAGCAGUUCAGAGUUCGUACUUUAGUUGACAAAGCAGACUCAGCAGGUUAAAGAGAGUUAGUGAUCGUCUAGAGUUAACAGGAAAGUUAUGCAGGCAGACGCCGUUACGAGCAUGUGAUUCAGGUCAGCGACUUCGUAUUUCUGACGGGGUGCUUCGAUUUAGGAAGAGGGGUAAAUGGGGGGCCCCGGUAUGUUGGGUCUUUUCGUGAAGGUGCGAAGGUAGGAAGGGUGGCCUAUCGUUUGGAGCUGUCAACGGAAUUGGGACGGAUCCAUGACACUGGUAUGUGUCGCAGUUGAAGAGGUGUAUAGCGGAUGAGUCAGCAGUGGUUCUACUAGAGAACGAUUAGGUGGAUGCGAGCCUGUGUUACGUCGAGAGGCCAGUGGCCGUCGGAGAUCGGAAGAUCAAGGUUCUGAGGAACAAGGAGGUACCUCUGGUAUUGGUUCAGUAGCGGCCUCGGAAGAUAUCGGAAGUGUUUAGGGAAGCCGAAACGUGUGAUGCGGGAGCAGCAUCCAGAACUAUUUUCAGAGUGAGACUUCGAGGGCGAAGUCUAAUUCUAGUGGGGGAGAAUUGUAACAGCCCAAAAUCUCAAGUAUUGUUAAGUUGCAUUUUGGGGGUGUUUUAAAGGGGAGACUCGACGAGUUGGAGCCAGACUCGCCGAGUAGGGUCGCAGGUUUGGUCGCGGGUUCACGACUGGACUCGACGAGUCCAGAUAUGGACUCGGCGAGUCGACGCUGUUCAGCGGAAACCCUAGCCGUUCAGUAUUGGGUCGUAUAUAAGGGUUAUUAUGCCGUCAUUUCACGACUUUUGAUCGAUUGGGAAGAACCCUAGGCGACUGGGGCGGCUAGAGCAAGCUUGAAGGCCAUUGGUGACCUUGAAGGAAUUGUUGUGCAAGGAGGAGAAGGGUUUUAGCUAAAGGAACUGCAGGGAGUUCGAGUUCUGAAGUUUGGGGACAUGGAAGGUACAUCAUUCAGGUAAUAAUUCGGAUUACAUUCUCCUGUGAUUGAUGUGUAUAUAGAUUUAGGGUUUAUGGAACCCAUUUGGAGUCUAGAUGGAUUGUUGUGUUGUUAUUCAACGUUUAUAACCUUGUAUUAGGACCCUCAGAGGUCCAGAAGGUCCCAUGUUUGUAUAUUCGAGAAUAUAUGUAUCUCAGGAAGCAGUUCGAUCGACUGCAUGGCGUAGACUCGCCGAGUCGGAUGAUCAGACUCGGCGAGUAGCUUGAAGAUUCACUGGGACUCGCCGAGUUUGUUCUUCAGGCUCGGCGAGUAGAGUCGGGGUGGCCCCGCGAUUCUUCCACGAGGACCUCGUCGAGUCAAGAGGGAUACUCGACGAGUAGAAAGGGAUC